CGGCUUCUGGGAGUGCAGUUCGGGGUCUCGCUCUAGUUAGGCAGGAACACGGCUUAGCAGCUCCUCAACCUUGGCCUUGUCUGACAGCCCAGAACCAAACCUUCCUCGGAUAAAAGAAAGCUGUGAAUAAAGGAAUUCUCACUUGCAUAACAUCCUUCAAGUCUUUCUUCAAGAUAUAAAGAAAUGACUUCUGCAUUCCCAAUCAUCUUGGAAACUUGAGCAAUCAAGACCGUAACUUGUAAGGCUUUUCAUUAUCUUCCACGGGGGUGAUUGUACUUCAUAACUGUGCUGCUUUGGAGAGAAUACUGUAGUAUCAUAC